rnacentral:rRNA from 1 species
UGGGGAAUCUUAGACAAUGGGGGAAACCCUGAUCUAGCCAUGCCGCGUGAGUGAUGAAGGCCCUAGGGUCGUAAAGCUCUUUCGCCAGGGAUGAUAAUGACAGUACCUGGUAAAGAAACCCCGGCUAACUCCGUGCCAGCAGCCGCGGUAAUACGGAGGGGGUUAGCGUUGUUCGGAAUUACUGGGCGUAAAGCGCGCGUAGGCGGACUAUUAAGUCAGGGGUGAAAUCCCGGGGCUCAAACACGGAACUGCCUUUGAUACUGGUAGUCUAGAGUUCGAGAGAGGUGAGUGGAAUUCCGAGUGUAGAGGUGAAAUUCGUAGAUAUUGGGAAGAACACCAGUGGCGAAGGCGGCACUCUGGCACGUUUCUGACGCUGAGGCGCGAAAGCGUGGGGAGCAAACAGGAUUAGAUACCCCUGUAGUCC